rnacentral:lncRNA from 1 species
AUAUAAAAUUAAGCUCAUAUGCUUUUAAAAAUACUAAGUUAUUGGUGCUUGUAGAUUUUUGGCCAUUGGAUUAAGAGAUGUGCGGUUAGGAUGAUGUGGGCCCUCUAGGGUUGACUUGAGUGGGUGAUUGGUCGAAUAAUAUAAUUUAGCGGUUGAAAAUGAUAAAAAAACGUAAAUCUAACGGUAAAAAAUUUACAAGUAAAAAAUUUACAAAAUUAUGUGUAACACAUGCGACUAAAAUGAUUAU